rnacentral:lncRNA from 1 species
UAAAAGAGAUUGAAAUACAUGAGAAUUCACAGAUAAAGCUUGUUCAGUGUCCACACCCAAAGAGGAGAAAAAAAAAAGUUAAUAAAUCUGUAAAGGUAGAUACUUCAAAUUCUUGCAAUGAACAAUAUACAGGGAUUGAAGAGAAGAGAGGUUACCCAACCACUAUGGCAAAGCUUCCACUUGAUAGAGAUACACAUAUAGUGUGAGUUUCGGGCAGUGAAGCAUUAGAGUUGAUAUGAAAGAGACUUUACUCUAUACCACGAUCCCCAUGUAUCUCUAGUAUUUCAAAGGAUGGGAUGCCUUGGAUUAAAUUCAGAUAAUGAAAGAAUCCAAUUUCCAUGAGAAAUCUCCAAUACCUAAUCCCUCAAUUGGGUGAGGCUACCAAAUAUCUUCUCUGGAAAAGAACUCAAACCUUGACACUGCUGCUUGUAAAGAAUGAAGAGAAUGCAUGAGAAUUCACAUAUAAAGCUAGUUCAGUGGUUUAGUUCUCAAAGCAUAUGGCGGAUCAAAUUCUUAGAAGACUUUGUCAUUGAUAAUUUGAUAAAUAUGAAAAUGGAAAUACAACUUUUCUCUAUAGGAGAACAGAAAUUAUAGCCAAGAUAACAGAAUCAUUUAAUCUGGUGAUCUCUCUUAGAAAUAGUCAUUAGGAUUGGAACAUGAAAUAAUAGCAGAAUCAAUUACUCUAACUAAGCUCAUGGUUUUAUAAAAAAAAAAAAAAAAAA